UUAACUUCUGUAUUUUUAAAUGGUCAACACAAAGAUAUAUUUUUCUAUUCAGGAAAAAUAAUAACUACGAGGAUUCUUUUUUAGGGUGUGGAAGUUACCCUUUAAAUAGAGCUGGGAACGGCAGCAAAUCUGUUCCCUUCGAGAACAUUUCUUGUCCUCUUAGGAGCACAUUUUAGAAACCCAGUCUCUCUGAGGACAGAGCGGCUGAGGGGACUGCGGUGAGUGUCUGUGCUUGCAGCCUGUCCUGCAGUAGACCUAAGACCGCGGGCAUAGGCGUCCUGCCAGGGAGGGCUCCCCUCCAGAUGCCACUCCAACCCCGGGGGCAUCCCUGGGCCGUGGCAGGAGCUCCGUGGACUUGCUUCCUUCUUCUCAUCCGAGGCGCUUUGAAGGAGACCUGAGUGGGAGAACUGUGAUGUCUACUGGGAAUGUUUCCCAGCUCUGCUGGAGUCGCUGGCCCACAUCUGUCCCCGAGGCAUUGGCUUCUGCGUCUUCCCACCAACCUUCUGAUCAGCCCCACCCCUAAGCACAUGCUGUUAGGGACCUGUGAAAACCAACUGCGGUAGGAGUUGGAAAUAAUUCAAAAGCUCUGAGAAAAGGGUAUCCCAAAAUACUUAUAUAAAUAUGUGGCCAUGCUCUCUAGAAGUUGCUGGUGUAAACUUCAACCAUAACCACUCUUGGAUGAUUAUGUGAGACAUUUUGGUGGAUGUUGGAGAGAAGAGGAUGAUGGGAAGACAUUUUCUCCGCAUAAAGUCUUGUGGGAGAUGAAGCAUUCACUCUUCCCUGACAUCUUUAGGGAAAAAAGGAAAAAAGGAAAAGUUGCGUGACUGUAAAACACCGGUGCUCCUCCCCUUUCUUCUGAUUGCAUCUCGGCUGCCCGCUCGCUCGGUUGUUCUAGGCCAAGGCAUCAGCGGCUGGUGGCCAAAAAGGCAGCGUGAGGAACGUGACGACCCAAGCCUGAGCAGCGGAGUCAGAAACAGUUUUGUCUACAGAAAUACCUAAAGAGGUGAAGGUCGGGAGCUACAGAAGGCUGAAGAGCUGGUUCCAUCAUGGUUGCUUCUUAAAUGCAGAUGACAGCUGAGUGACAUGUCCCACAUUGUUCUUCUCUCCCUCCUCCCCGUCUGGGGAUCUGGCUGGCCUUUUUUCUGGUUAAACUAGAUUAACUCUGAUGACUCUGGGGCGAUGCUUUAAGAACAAAUGGAUAGCCAUACCAACACUAAGCUUGACCUUGGGCCCAUGGGCUGUUCAGUUUGUGCUGGGACUCACAACCCUGAUCUGGAGUGACCUUUUCUCCCCGUGAUGGUGACAGGAUCCAGAAUCUCAGGAACAGCGCAGCAGUGAGUGCAGCUUUUGAGCUGGUUCUAGCGGUGAAUCAUAACACACCCCCUUCAUUUCCUCCCAAACAAUUCUCUUCAUUUCUUCCUUGAGAUGAAUGUUUAGAAAGAACAGAGAUCUGUGUUAGGAAGAGCUUGGCUACAAAAGGCUCCUGUGGCAAAGAGAUGUUAUGAACAAAUAAAUGGAUAAAGAAUAUGUGGAUCAUAUACAAAAUGAAGUUUCAUUUA